ensembl:snoRNA
CCUGCCACUGCACCUGACCAGUUCUUGUUUGCUGGUGCAAUCCAGUGGUGAGCUGAAAGUAGGCCCCAACUCUUAGAAAACAGGGCUGUCCUAUAUGUGAAUGAUUCUGUGCCCACAGCAUGAGAACAACC